rnacentral:rRNA from 1 species
GGGUUUACUCAUUGGUCAGGCUUAAUUGUCUGUACUGGUGAGAUGAAUCUCUACCUUCUGCGGAACUUUCAUGUCAUUUAUUUGGUGUUGUGGGGAAUCAGGACUGUUACUUUGAAAAAAUUAGAGUGUUUAAAGCAGGCUCACGCUUGAAUACAUUAGCAUGGAAUAAUGAAAUAGGACGUUUGAUUCUAUUUUGUUGGUUUCUAGGAUCGACGUA